ensembl:lincRNA
UUACUUGAUAUAAAAUAAAACAUGGUAGACUAUCUUUCUUUUUAUUAUUAUUUUUUUUUUAUUGACAUGAAUCCACCGCGGGUGUACAUGCGAUCCCAAACAUGAACCCCCCUCCCAUCUCCCUCCCCACAACAUCCCUCUGAGUCAUCCCCAUGCACCAGCCCCAAGCAUGCUGUAUCCUACAUCAGACAUAGACUGGUGAUUUGAUUCUUACAUGAUAGUAUACAUGUUUCAAUGCCAUUCUCCCAAAUCAUCCCACCCUCUCCCUCUCCCUCUGAGUCCAAAAGUCCGCUAUACACAUCUGUGUCUUUUUUUCUGUCUUGCAUACAGGGUCAUUAUUGCCAUCUUUCUAAAUUCCAUAUAUAUGUAUUAGUAUACUGUAUUGGUGUUUUUCUUUCUGGCUUACUUCACUCUGUAUAAUCAGCUCCAGUUUCAUCCAUCGCAUUAGAACUGAUUCAAAUGCAUUCUUUUUAAUGGCUGAGUAAUACUCCAUUGUGUAUAUGUACCACAGCUUUCUUAUCCAUUCAUCUGCUGAUGGACAUCUAGGUUGUUUCCAUGUCCUGGCUAUUAUAAACAGUGCUGCGAUGAACAUUGGGGUACAUGUGUCUCUUUCAAUUCUGGUUUCCUCAGUGUGUAUGCCCAGAAGUGGGAUUGCUGGGUCAUAAGGUAGUUCUAUUUGCAAUUUUUUAAGGAAUCUCCACACUGUUCUCCAUAGUGGCUGUACUAGUUUGCAUUCCCACCAACAGUGUAGGAGGGUUCCCUUUUCUCCACACCCUCGCCAGCAUUUAUUGCUUGCAGAUUUUUGGAUCGCAGCCAUUCUGACUGGUGUGAAGUGGUACCUCAUUGUGGUUUUGAUUUGCAUUUCUCUAAUAAUGAGUGAUGUUGAGCAUCUUUUCAUGUGUUUGUUAGCCAUCCGUAUGUCUUCUUUGGAGAAAUGUCUAUUUAGUUCUUUGGCCCAUUUUUUGAUUGGGUCGUUUAUUUUUCUGGAAUUGAGCUGCAUAAGUUGCUUGUAUAUUUUUGAGAUUAGUUGUUUGUCAUUUGCUAUUAUUUUCUCCCAUUCAGAAGGCUGUCUUUUCACCUUGCUUAUAUUUUCCUUUGUUGUGCAGAAGCUUUUAAUUUUAAUUAGAUCCCAUUUGUUUAUUUUUGCUUUUAUUUCCAGCAUUCUGGGAGGUGGAUCAUAGAGGAUCCUGCUGUGAUUUAUGUCUGAGAGUGUUUUGCCUAUGUUCUCCUCUAGGAGUUUUAUAGUUUCUGAUCUUACAUUUAGAUCUUUAAUCCAUUUUGAGUUUAUUUUUGUGUGCGGUGUUAGAAAGUGAUCUAGUUUCAUUCUUUUACAAGUGGUUGACCAGUUUUCCCAGCACCACUUGUUAAAGAGAUUGUCUUUACUCCAUUGUAUAUUCUUGCCUCCUUUGUCAAAGAUAAGGUGUCCAUAUGUGUGUGGAUUUAUCUCUGGGCUUUCUAUUUUGUUCCAUUGAUCUAUAUGUCUGUCUUUGUGCCAGUACCAUACUGUCUUGAUGACUGUGGCUUUGUAGUAGAGCCUGAAGUCAGGCAAGUUGAUUCCUCCAGUUCCAUUCUUCUUUCUCAAGAUUGCUUUGGCUAUUCGAGGUUUUUUGUAUUUCCAUACAAAUCUUGAAAUUAUUUGUUCUAGUUCUGUGAAAAAUGUGGCUGGUAGCUUGAUAGGGAUUGCAUUGAAUUUGUAAAUUGCUUUGGGUAGUAUACUCAUUUUCACUAUAUUGAUUCUUCCAAUCCAUGAACAUGGUAUAUUUCUCCAUCUAUUAGUGUCCUCUUUGAUUUCUUUCAUCAGUGUUUUAUAGUUUUCUAUAUAUAGGUCUUUAGUUUCUUUAGGUAGAUAUAUUCCUAAGUAUUUUAUUCUUUUCGUUGCAAUGGUGAAUGGAAUUGUUUCCUUAAUUUCUUUUUCUACUUUCUCAUUAUUCGUGUAUAGGAAUGCAAGGGAUUUCUGUGUGUUGAUUUUAUAUCCUGCAACUUUACUAUAUUCAUUGAUUAGUUCUAGUAAUUUUCUGGUGGAGUCUUUAGGGUUUUCCAUGUAGAGGAUCAUGUCAUCUGCAAACAGUGAGAGUUUUACUUCUUCUUUUCCAAUUUGGAUUCCUUUUAUUUCUUUUUCUGCUCUGAUUGCUGUGGCCAAAACUUCCAGAACUAUGUUGAAUAGUAGCGGUGAAAGUGGGCACCCUUGUCUUGUUCCUGACUUUAGGGGAAAUGCUUUCAAUUUUUCACCAUUGAGGAUAAUGUUUGCUGUGGGUUUGUCAUAGAUAGCUUUUAUUAUGUUGAGGUAUGUUCCUUCUAUUCCUGCUUUCUGGAGAGUUUUUAUCAUAAAUGGAUGUUGAAUUUUGUCAAAGGCCUUCUCUGCAUCUAUUGAGAUAAUCAUAUGGUUUUUAUUUUUCAAUUUGUUAAUGUGGUGAAUUACAUUGAUUGAUUUGCGGAUAUUGAAGAAUCCUUGCAUCCCUGGGAUAAAGCCCACUUGGUCAUGGUGUAUGAUCUUUUUAAUGUGUUGUUGGAUUCUGAUUGCUAGAAUUUUGUUGAGGAUUUUUGCAUCUAUGUUCAUCAGUGAUAUUGGCCUGUAGUUUUCUUUUUUUGUGACAUCUUUGUCAGGUUUUGGUAUUAGGGUGAUGGUGGCCUCAUAGAAUGAGUUUGGAAGUUUACCUUCCUCUGCAAUUUUCUGGAAGAGUUUGAGGAGGAUCGGUGUUAGCUCUUCUCGAAAUUUUUGGUAGAAUUCAGCUGUGAAGCCGUCUGGACCUGGGCUUUUGUUUGCUGGAAGAUUUCUGAUUACCGUUUCAAUUUCCGUGCUUGUGAUGGGUCUGUUAAGAUUUUCUAUUUCUUCCUGGUUCAAGAAUAGCAAGGAGUGAUAAGAAGUGCAAAGAAAUAGAGGAAAACAAUAGAAUGGGAAAGACUAGAGAUCUCUUCAAGAAAAUUAGAGAUACCAAGGUAACAUUUCAUGCAAAGAUGGGCACAAUAAAGGACAGAAAUGGUAUGUACCUAACAGAAGCAGAAGAUGUUAAGAAAAGGUGGCAAGAAUACACAGAAGAGCUAUA